rnacentral:rRNA from 1 species
GAUGAACGCUAGCGGCAGGCCUAAUACAUGCAAGUCGGACGGGAUUCAGGAGCUUGCUUCUGAUGAGAGUGGCGCACGGGUGCGUAACACGUAUGUAACCUACCUUUAUCAGGGGGAUAGCCUCUCGAAAGAGAGAUUAAGCCCGCAUAAAAUCACAGCACAGCAUUGUGUAAUGAUCAAAUAUUUAUAGGAUAAAGAUGGGCAUGCGGAACAUUAGCUAGAUGGCGGGGUAACGGCCCACCAUGGCGACGAUGUUUAGGGGAUCUGAGAGGAUGGCCCCCCACACUGGUACUGAGACACGGACCAGACUCCUACGGGAGGCAGCAGUAAGGAAUAUUGGUCAAUGGGCGGAAGCCUGAACCAGCCAUGCCGCGUGCAGGAAGACGGCCCUACGGGUUGUAAACUGCUUUUAGACGGGAAUAAACCCAGAUACGUGUAUCUGGCUGAAUGUACUGUAAGAAUAAGAAUCGGCUAACUCCGUG